rnacentral:lncRNA from 1 species
UCUUGUACAAACUUAUCUUAUACAAACUGAUGUGACAUUAAUUCAUUGGUUGAAUGCAAAUAUAAAAUAAUAAAAAUAAAUCACGUGGGCCAAGAGAUAUUUAAUUCAACCAAUGAAUUAAUGCCACAUCCGUUUGUACAAAAUAAGUUUGUACAAAAAUUUGUGGUUAUAUCAUUACUCAUAUUUUUAUGUGGGGUAAAUAUCUAUGGGUGAGUUUUGGGAUAGACAUGAAAAAUAAAUUAUAAAACAGGGAUAUUUUUGACAUUAGCAGGUAAUUGACUUAAUUCAGAUUUCUCCAUUAAGUAAAAAGCCAAAAAAAUUAGCUUAUUUUAUUAAGUCAAAAUUAUCUAAAAAGUCUCAUUAAGUUAUAAAAACAAACACCUCUAAUUAACUUAAUUAAUUAAGUUAAGUCACUUUAAGUCAUUAAGUUAAAAAACAAACGCCACCUAACUCUUUUACCCAUUCUUCAUACAGCUUAGCAGUUUAUUAUUUUAUAUACGAUCUCUAGAUUUCUUUUAAGUUAACCCUUAAAAAAAAAUUGAAAAAUAAAAAAAAUAAAAAAAGAGAAAAAAAUGUGUGUUGCUACAUUUGUAAAUUGUAAAAUUAAAAAAAAGAAAAGAAAAAAAUGUGUGUUGCUACAUCUUGAGGUUCAUCUAACUAGUUUAUAUGGAAGAUUAUUUAGAGCCCUAAAAGACAAUGGAAAUGUCAUCUUUGACCCGUUUGAGCCUUUUUAGCCAUUCCUUUUGUGAAAAAUCCAUAGUUAAUCCUUUUGAGCCUUUAAAAAAAAAUUAUUAUUUGUUAACUUAUCAUCUUGACCUACUCCGAUUUGGAGUAUUACCCAAUAUCUUACAAGUUCCAUCACCUAUUUAUGUUUGAGAAAAAAGUAAAUAAUUAUUUUGUUCAGUGAAGUUGUGCCAAACAAAAGAAAAAAAAACAAAAAAAAAUUAUUGUUUCAAAAAUAAUAAUAAUAAUAAUAAUAAAUAAGCAAAAUACAUCUUGUAAUUUCCAAAAUAUCUAUAUUUUUUCUCAAACAUAUAUUUUAUUUUUUCCGAUUUUCCUUCAUUUGUCAGUCAUGUCCCUAGCCUACAUUACGUCCUAAUAAAAGUCUUUCUUGAUUUUAGGAAUCUAUAGUCUGAAGUAGAAGCUAGUUUUAUGGGCUAAAAAGAUGUAGUGGUGCAUAGAAAAAUAAAUAAAUAAAUUGUGUUGACUGGCAUUUUGUUUGACUUGAGAUCGUAUUAUUUCUAAGCUUAGGGCAUAUUUCUUUCAUCUUGGGGAGAGCGUGUGAUAUUACUUCUUUAUUAUUUUCUCUCAAUUACCAUUCAUUGGAGUGACUAUUUUUUGGGUUUAAUUUCUUUGUGAGAGUGUCACUACUACCAGUGAGAUUUUGAGGUUUGACAUGUCAUUCUUGAAAGCAGCUGUGACAAAGUCUACUGGGCUGAUUCAUGUGGAUGGUUGAUAUGGGUGUGAUGUUUCUAUAGACUGGAGAUAAUACUUAUACUUUUAUUUGAUUGCUAUUAUUAGUUUGAUUGUAUAAACACGAGUGUUUUAAAAAAAAUGGAUUUGAAUUUUAUUUUCGCUUUAUUUGCUAGGGACUAGCAAUAAGCUGGUUGGGGGGUGUGUUAAGUGAGUGAAAAGUGUAAAGAAAAUUGAAUGAACCGAACCAAAUCGAAAUAAAUUCAAUGAAACCAUUUGAAACAAUGUUUCGAACCUUUUUCCAUGAAUAAUACUCAGAGCUACUAAAAUAAUUGAAAUAAAAAGAAUUAAAACCACAAAAACAGUGCUUAGUUGUUAGAGCUAAUGGGUAUAUAAAUUAAAAAAAAAAAAAGUGAUAUUUUGUAAAAUUUCUCUCAGAAAAUUCACUUCCUAGAAGAAUUUUGAACAAAUUUUACAAACCUGCGGGUAUUUGGUGAGGAAAACAUUAAAAAAUGAAACAAAGUAAACAAAAUGCGGGAAACCAAACUUUAGUUGAAAGGUUUAAUAAAUAAUGCAUGAUACAGAAUUCAGUUUUUUUUUUUUUUUUUUGGUAUAGAGUUCCAAUUUAGAGUUUUUAUAUAUAAAAAAAAGAACGGAUUUAAUUUGAUUAUUAUUUUUCUUUACUAUAAAUAAUAAAGUCUUUUAGUUAAUUGGACAUGGAACUUAAAAGUUAAUGAAAAGGGAAAAUAAGCGUGCAAGACGAAGGUUUGAGCGAAGAACCUGAGAAGCUACGAAUGCACAUUCCACAACACCAGCAUCUCCUCUCAGCCCACGGAGGCAUGCAUCCGCAAAUUUAACCGCUGCAUAAGCCUAUACAUUAUAGAUGCUUUAUGAUUAAUUAUUGAAAAAAAAAAAAGAUCAUAUAGUCAUGAACAAAUUAAAAGAGUUCAUAGAAGAAUUGGCUGACCAUUGAGAGUGUUGCAGAGCCAGCCCCAGCUUUUGCCUGCAAAUGACAUGAGCUUUCUUAACUCAGACUUUGACUUAACCAAUGAAUUGCUACAAAAUGGCAUCCAACAAGUUUGAUGAAAACAGCAUGCAUCUAAUGCCCUAGCAAUGAGAAAUUUGAUAUCCCAUCUCUGCAUGUAAUGUGAGAAACAUAUAUCAGGGUGGCAUUACCUCAACAACUUCUGUUCCACCAUUUUGUAUGCGGUUCGUCAGGUAUUCAGUUUCUUCUUGAGUGAAGCUACAAGGAGGCUUAACCUGAGAAGAAUUUCAAGUGCAAUGAUCGUUGAAAUGCAGUUCAUAUUCCAUAAUAAUAACAGUAAUGCUAUGGAUCCCAGUAUUGCAACUUAUCUGUAUCUACCGCAUCAAGUUAGUUAACAUUAGUUAUUAGUAUUUAACAUGAUGUGAUAGUUACGGAUAAGCUGUCACAUUAGUUAAGACUCAAAAACUAGGAAAUUUAGCGUUAUUAGGUAUUGUAAUGAAAAAGUAUUUUAACGUUCACUUAAAAUUCUAGAAGACCUGUGAUAAAAGUGGCAAAAUUGUUACUCCAGCAUGACCUCCAACAACAGGAACAUCAACAUCCCUAGGAUCAAGUCCCAAAACUUCCGCCUGUAACAUGAUAUGAAAACUGCUGUACGGCCAAGGCGGAUGUACGGUACAGCAGAAAAUAUGUACUUUUACAUUUGUAUCCUUAUUAAAUUUGAAUGUCAAAUAAAUAAUAUAUUAAAUACCACAAUAUUUUAACAUUUAUAAGUAAAAUUAUAUUCAAGUGAAUACAUAAUUAUUUUGGAAUUUUAAUAUAUAAAAUACCAUAAAUUUCAAUUUUAUCGUAUAUAAUAUAAGAAAGAAAAAAUAUGGAUAUUUUUAUGUGGGGUAAAUAUCUAUGGGUGAGUUUUGGGAUAGACAUGAAAAAUAAAUUAUAAAACAGGGAUAUUUUUGACAUUAGCAGGUAAUUGACUUAAUUCAGAUUUCUCCAUUAAGUAAAAAGCCAAAAAAAUUAGCUUAUUUUAUUAAGUCAAAAUUAUCUAAAAAGUCUCAUUAAGUUAUAAAAACAAACACCUCUAAUUAACUUAAU